rnacentral:rRNA from 1 species
GGACCCGCACAAGUAGUGGAGCAUGUGGUUUAAUUCGAAGAUACGCGCAGAACCUUACCAACACUUGACAUGUUCGUCGCGACUUUAAGAGAUUAAAGUUUUCGGUUCGGCCGGACGAAACACAGGUGCUGCAUGGCUGUCGUCAGCUCGUGUCGUGAGAUGUUGGGUUAAGUCCCGCAACGAGCGCAACCCUCACUUUUAGUUGCCAUCAUUUAGUUGGGCACUCUGAAAGAACUGCCAGUGAUAAGCUGGAGGAAGGUGGGGAUGACGUCAAGUCCUCAUGGCCCUUACGUGUUGGGCUACACACGUGCUACAAUGGUAUCUACAACAGGAAGCAAGACGGCAUGAAGUCGGAAUCGCUAGUAAUCGCGUAACAGCAUGACGCGGUGAAUACGUUCCCGGGCCUUGUACACACCGCCCGUCACACCA